GCUCUCCCGCCGGCCCGCGGCAAGAUGGCGGCAGUGGAAGCCAUGGCGCUGAGGCCCGUGGUGCUGAGGCGGGCGCCGGCUCACAGCCGCGGCAUCCUCACCCGCCCCGGGCCGCCCCGUCCCCGCGGGCCGCUGCCCCGCACCCCCUGGACCACCCGCGGGCCGCCGCCGGACCAGCUGGCCCGGGUGGUGGAGCGGCGGCCGGUGCGCGAGCAGGUGGAGCUGGACACCGUCACGUACGCGGGCCGGCAGUACUUCGUGCCCGGCCUGGCCCGGCCGCGCUUCCCGCCCUGGGACCGCGGCUGGAGGGAGCCCUGGCACAGCCCCGGGCCGCGCUACGAGGACAUGCCGCUGCGCAAGGAGCGCGGCUGCUUCAUCUGCCACCAGCGGGUCCGCAUGCUGGAAGGGGUUCGGCAGGCGCAGUGGCUCACCAAGACGAAGCUGGUGCAAGGCUUACCUGCAAAGGUGCUCAGCAUCGCCGAGAACCCAGCAUACCAGCUCCAGGAGCAGGAGGAGGCCGUGCACCGUGCCGUUGCACAUGCACGGCUCUGGGAGACUACAGAAGUUUCCCCCAGAAGAGAAAAAUACUGCCCUGUACUGUUUGAAGACUUGAUACAUUUGUGCCGGUCAAUGUCAGUGAAGUAUCCUUCCCUGGCUAGAAGAAUGCUGGCUCGAAACUACCGGAUUGCAGCUACGUGGGAAAGAGAAUCCACCCUCCUUCAGAUCCGUGGCCUGAAUGGAAUACUUAUGAACUCUAUGACCCCAAUACCACCCGUAGCCUCCAAGGAAGAGAUACUGGCCACAAAAGACCAUGUUCUGGAGACCUUCUAUCCCAUCUCUCCUACAAUUGACCUUCAGGAAGUGAAUGUGUACCAAGAGCUCAAUGACACAGGUUUCAAAGAUGGUUAUCCGUACUCUCAUCCUCACACUCUGUAUUUCCUGGAAUCGGCCAACAAGCGUCCUAACAGGUUCAGACCAGAACAGCUCCGUGCUAAAAUGCUGAUGUUUGCUUUUGGCAACGCACUGGCAAAGGCGAAGGUGCUGUAUGGGAAUGAUCCCCAGGUUUUGGAGCAGCCAAUAGUGGUGCAGAGCGUUGGCACAGAUGGCCAGCUCUUCCAAUUCUUGGUGUUCCAAUUAAAUACAACAGACCUCGUGUCUAAUGAUGGCAUAAAGAAUCUAGUCUGGAUCGACUCUGAUCAGAAUCUGUAUGAAAGUGCCCAGUGUGUUCCAGAAGUCAAGAAGAGAGUGGUUACAAAGCCCACUGGAAUAUAUGGCUUACAGCCAGAAACAUUCAAGAAGUUUCUGGCACUGUAUCUGCAUGGAACUGUGUGAAAUUCAGCUCAAAUGAAAAUCCUUCACCAACUGUACCUGCUGCUUCUCUUUGCCAGAACCAUCGCGCAGCGAGAGAAAGUUCUGCACUGUUACCCUUCAGCGCAUGGGAAGGAGUGGGACAGCCUGCGCUAUUUUAAGGAGUGGAAGAGCACGUACAUUUCCAAGAAAUUCGUAUCACGUCAGUCUCUCAUGUCAGAGGCUGGUCUGUGCUUUGUGAUCUCGUCUGACCAUCUGGAUGAACACCUCCGUGGUGUGCUCCAGUCCCGGGCUAUCAAACAGCUCCGCUCUGCAGAUUUCAGAAAACAGAUCCUCGCUCGUCAAACUUGAGAUCAGCUGUUGGGCUCAAUGAAUUGGGAUGCAUCUUCU